CUCAGCUUUCUGCAGAUAUAUUGUUGCCUUCGGGACCAUUGAGACAGGUGCUGCAUGGUUGUCGUCAGCUCGUGUCGUGAGAUGUUGGGUUAAGUCCCGUAACGAGCGCAACCCUUGUCCUUAGUUGCCAGCACUUUAUGGGGGGCACUCUAAUGAGACGGCCGGUAACAAACCGAAGAAAGGGGGGGAUAACUUCAAUUCAUCUGGGCCCUUACAGCCUGGGCUACACACUUGCUACAAGGGUCGGUACAAAGGGUUGCCAAUCCCCAAGGGGAACCUAAUCCCAUAAAACCGAUCUUAGUCCGGAUCGCAGGCUGCAACUCGACUGCGUGAAGUCGGAAUCGCUAGUAAUCGCGAAUCAGAAUGUCGCGGUGAAUACGUUCCCGGGUCUUGUACACACCGA
rnacentral:rRNA from 1 species